rnacentral:rRNA from 1 species
AGUCGACGGAGCUGCUUUGAUGAAGUUUUCGGAUGGAUUUAAAACAGCUUAGUGGCGGACGGGUGAGUAACGCGUGGGUAACCUGCCUCACACUGGGGGAUAACAGUUAGAAAUAGCUGCUAAUACCGCAUAAGCGCACAGUUCCGCAUGGAACAGUGUGAAAAACUCCGGUGGUGUGAGAUGGACCCGCGUCUGAUUAGCCAGUUGGCGGGGUAACGGCCCACCAAAGCGACGAUCAGUAGCCGGCCUGAGAGGGUGAACGGCCACAUUGGGACUGAGACACGGCCCAAACUCCUACGGGAGGCAGCAGUGGGGAAUAUUGCACAAUGGGGGAAACCCUGAUGCAGCGACGCCGCGUGAGUGAAGAAGUAUUUCGGUAUGUAAAGCUCUAUCAGCAGGGAAGAAAGUGACGGUACCUGAAUAAGAAGCCCCGGCUAACUACGUGCCAGCAGCCGCGGUAAUACGUAGGGGGCAAGCGUUAUCCGGAUUUACUGGG